AUUGAACGCUGGCGGCAUGCUUUACACAUGCAAGUCGAACGGCAGCACGGGUGCUUGCACCUGGUGGCGAGUGGCGAACGGGUGAGUAAUGCAUCGGAACGUGCCCAUGAGUGGGGGAUAGCCCGGCGAAAGCCGGAUUAAUACCGCAUACGCCCUUAGGGGGAAAGCGGGGGAUCUUCGGACCUCGCGCUAUUGGAGCGGCCGAUGUCGGAUUAGCUAGUAGGUGAGGUAAAGGCUCACCUAGGCGACGAUCCGUAGCUGGUCUGAGAGGAUGAUCAGCCACACUGGGACUGAGACACGGCCCAGACUCCUACGGGAGGCAGCAGUGGGGAAUUUUGGACAAUGGGCGCAAGCCUGAUCCAGCCAUGCCGCGUGAGUGAAGAAGGCCUCGGUUGUAAG
rnacentral:rRNA from 1 species